rnacentral:rRNA from 1 species
GAUGAACGCUGGCGGCGUGCCUAAUACAUGCAAGUCGAACGCGAGCACUUGUGCUCGAGUGGCGAACGGGUGAGUAAUACAUAAGUAACCUGCCCUAGACAGGGGGAUAACUAUUGGAAACGAUAGCUAAGACCGCAUAGGUACGGACACUGCAUGGUGACCGUAUUAAAGUAGCCUCAAAGCACUGGUAGAGGAUGGACUUAUGGCGCAUUAGCUGGUUGGCGGGGUAACGGCCCACCAAGGCGACGAUGCAUAGCCGAGUUGAGAGACUGAUCGGCCACAUUGGGACUGAGACACGGCCCAG